rnacentral:rRNA from 1 species
UACGAAGGGGGCUAGCGUUGCUCGGAAUCACUGGGCGUAAAGCGCACGUAGGCGGGUCGUUAAGUCGGGGGUGAAAUCCUGGAGCUCAACUCCAGAACUGCCUUCGAUACUGGCGAUCUUGAGUCUGGGAGAGGUGAGUGGAACUCCGAGUGUAGAGGUGAAAUUCGUAGAUAUUCGGAAGAACACCAGUGGCGAAGGCGGCUCGCUGGCCCGGUACUGACGCUGAGGUGCGAAAGCGUGGGGAGCAAACAGG